rnacentral:snRNA from 1 species
GUGCUCAUGUCAGCACUACAUAUGCUAAAAUUAGAACAAUACAGAAAAGAUUAGCAUGGCCCCUGGGCAAGGAUGACACGAAAAUUUGUGAAGUGUUCCCUAUUUUU